rfam:Humulus lupulus small cytoplasmic RNA 7S (7S RNA gene), clone_lib H20o
GCCGGUCUUAGCAACGUGGGCCUGUAACCCAAGUGGGGGCAUGUGGGAAAUGGGACUUUGGGUCAACCUAGUGGAUCGGGUCCAGUGUUAGCUGCUUACUGGUCUGCCCAUUCCAAGCCGGGAGUUGGGCUGAGUGACCUGGGCGAAGGGCUGGGUUGCGCACGUCCUAGAGUGGAGGGCAAUGCGUGAGGCUGGCUUCACAGAGCAGCGACUACCUCCCGCUCUCGGCAGUGGAAGGAUAACGGGCCGGUGCUACCUGGGUCCACCAUGCUUCACUAGGCUGACUCUUAAUAGGACCAUUUCUUUU